UUGAUGAAUUUGAGUAUGAGAAAGUGAUGCCAAUUGUUAAUAACAUUUAUGUGAUGAUUGGAUACUUGGAAAUUUGAUGGAAUAUGAUAUUCCAUUGGAAAUGAAUAAGUUCACAUGUGAAUAAUGCAAUGAGUAGCAUAUAUAUAAAUGUUUUGAAUCUUGCAUGAAUUGUAAUUUACACACUUAAAUGUAAGUGACAAUAUUGUUAUCAUUAUGUGAGAUUAUGUGAUAAUCCUUCAUCAUGAAGAAUGUGGUUGUCUAUGUGAUCGAGUUCGUCGAAGGUGUGUUUUUGAGAAAAAUCCCGUUUGAACCUUGGGGAUAGAUUAGGAUGCAAUGGGACAUGUCGCUAGGAACUAUGUGAUUAUGAGCUCAUGAGAUAUGUGAUUAUGUGAUUGUGGAUCCGGGUGCUGGUCUUGUACGUCUUAUCGGUGGCUAGGUAGUCCGGCAUGUGUUGCAGACACCCGUCAGCUUGUGUAAGCAGCCCGUGUAGCUACGUCCUGACUGUCAGCUUGUGGGAGUAGACCAGUGAUCAGCUCGAGAGCGAGCAAUAUGUGAUAUGUGAUAUGUGAUAUGAGGUAGCCUUGGCUACAUAUGUAGCAUUUAUGUGCAAGCUUUCCGUGUAUCCAAUAGUGUCCCAAGUGUUCAAUGGGUAGUUCAAAGAAUGAUUUGACAAUAGACCCAACGGGGUACGUCAUGGUGAGAAUGAAUUUGAUUAUGUUAUGAGAUGAUACAAGUAUGUACAUAAUGAUAUGACU
rnacentral:lncRNA from 1 species